rnacentral:tRNA from 1 species
GGCCUCAUAGUUCAAUGGAUAGAAUACGAGUUUCCUAAACUUUAGAUCCAGGUUCGAUUCCUGGUGGGGCUAC